CCUACGGGUGGCCGCAGUGAGGAAUAUUGGUCAAUGGACGAGAGUCUGAACCAGCCAAGUAGCGUGAAGGAUGACUGCCCUAUGGGUUGUAAACUUCUUUUAUAUGGGAAUAAAACGUUCCACGUGUGGGAUUUUGUAUGUACCAUAUGAAUAAGGAUCGGCUAACUCCGUGCCAGCAGCCGCGGUAAUACGGAGUAUCCGAGCGUUAUCCGGAUUUAUUGGGUUUAAAGGGAGCGUAGGUGGAUUGUUAAGUCAGUUGUGAAAGUUUGCGGCUCAACCGUAAAAUUGCAGUUGAAACUGGCAGUCUUGAGUACAGUAGAGGUGGGCGGAAUUCGUGGUGUAGCGGUGAAAUGCUUAGAUAUCACGAAGAACUCCGAUUGCGAAGGCAGUUCACUGGACUGCAACUGACACUGAGGCUCGAAAGUGUGGGUAUCAAACAGGAUUAGAUACCCCUGUAGUC
rnacentral:rRNA from 1 species